rnacentral:RNase_P_RNA from 1 species
GGAGUUGACCGAACAGUCGCUGGCACGAGUUGACGCUCGUGCUAGAGGAAAGUCCGGGCUCCAUAGGACAGGGUGCCAGGUAACCCCUGGGGGGCGCGAGCCUACGGAAAGUGCAGCAGAGAGCAGACCGCCUAAGCCCGCCUGCUGGCGGGCCGGCAAGGGUGAAACGGUGCGGUAAGAGCGCACCAGCGCGGGUGGCAACAUCCGCGGCUCGGUAAACCCCACCCGGAGCAAGACCAAAUAGGAAUCCCACGGUGUGGUCCGCACCGGAUUCGGGUAGGUCGCUAGAGGUGCGUGGCGACACGCAUCCCAGAUGAAUGACUGUUCACGACAGAACCCGGCUUACAGGUCGACUCCCACU